rnacentral:rRNA from 1 species
GAGUUUGAUCAUGGCUCAGAACGAACGCUGGCGGCAUGCCUAACACAUGCAAGUCGAACGAGACCUUCGGGUCUAGUGGCGCACGGGUGCGUAACGCGUGGGAAUCUGCCCUUGGGUUCGGAAUAACAGUUAGAAAUGACUGCUAAUACCGGAUGAUGACUUCGGUCCAAAGAUUUAUCGCCCAGGGAUGAGCCCGCGUAGGAUUAGGUAGUUGGUGGGGUAAAGGCCUACCAAGCCGACGAUCCUUAGCUGGUCUGAGAGGAUGAUCAGCCACACUGGGACUGAGACACGGCCCAGACUCCUACGGGAGGCAGCAGUGGGGAAUAUUGGACAAUGGGGGCAACCCUGAUCCAGCCAUGCCGCGUGCGGGAAGAAGGCCUCGGUUGUAA